AAAGGGCUGCAGUAUAUUGACUGUACAAAGGUAGCAUAAUCAAUAGUCUCUUAAUUGGUGACUUGUAUGAAAGAUUUGAUGAAAUAUAAACUGUCUCUUAUUUAUUAAAAGAAUUUAAUUUUUUGAUUAAAAAGUCAAAAUAUUUUAAAAAGACGAGAAGACCCUAUAGAGUUUUAUUUUUAGAUUAAUUAAAGUUAUUUUUUAGUUUAAUAAUUAAAAUUAAUUUAAAUAUUUUAUUGGGGUGAUGGAAAAAUAAAUUUAACUUUUUUUAUUUUAAAACAUUAAUUAAUGAAUAUAUGAUCCAAAAAUUUUGAUUAAAAGAAAAAAUUACCUUAGGGAUAACAGCGUAAUUUUUUUUUUUAGUUCUUAUAAAAAAAAGAGUUUGCGACCUCGAUGUUGGAUUAAAAUAAAAUUUAUAUGCAAAAGUAUAAAA
rnacentral:rRNA from 1 species